rnacentral:lncRNA from 1 species
CACCAAUCCAGCUUCAGAAAUGCUCUGUUCUGAAAAGACAUUACAAGCAAAAAAUGCAGCUUUACAAACCUAUUCCCGACACCAUGCUCCGUGUGAUAAGAGUGAAAGUCAUCAGCAACAAUUCUUCUGGGAACAAGGAACUAAUAUUACUAGUAAUGGCAACAAAUCAAAGAAUGACAUUUCAGCUUGUUUUUUAUGGGAUACGGACUCUGUUCCUGAUAGACAGGAACGUUUAUAUGCUGUUCCGUCUCCUGCAAAGCUAUGCGAUGAGCCAAGGGAAAGAGGGCAAAGGUAUAGUUUUGACUCACAUGAUAGCAAUGACACAGAUGCUCUCUGUGUUGUAUCAUGUGAUGAAUAUCUGUUUGAAGCUAGUGGCAAGACAGUCCAGGAAUCUGGAGAACCUGGGUGCAAAGGAGAUGCUGAUUUAUCGGCAGUGCAUGACAAGCUGUGGAAGCUUCUUCAUGAAGUUGACUCAGACUGUCAGAUCCCAUUUGAAAACCGAGGGAUCACAAGUUUAGAAAUUAGGCCAACGGACGUCAAAGUCACAGAACAGAGCUUUGCACAGGAGGCUUGUCCUGAUCAUCCUUUGUCAAUAAAUUUAAUAGAAGAGGAGGAGCCUAUUAUACAGCCAACUAGUAGACAAAGAACAGAGAAAGAAGAUUGCAGUGUUUCUAAUAUCCUACUAAAAACGGAUGAAGCAUGUAACAGUGCAUCCAUAGGAAACGUUUCUCUUACACAAGUGGUAGAAACAGAUGGUAUAUGUCAAGGUUCUAGCACUGGAAAUAGAAAAGAAACACCAUGCAUUCAUCUUUCAGCAAAUAGUAUAUUAAAUGUAGAGGAGUGCUUGGAGCAAAAACCAAAUCAAACAUUAACUGGCGAGAAUGGAUCAAUUCAAAUGACUGCUGUCCAGGAAGGAAAGCUGACUGUUAAUAAUGCUUUCCAAACAUGUGAUGGAGAUUCCCCUCAAAGAUUAAAAAAUGCUCAGAGUAGUAAUUUCGAAUAUGACAAAGAAAACCCGGCUUACAUGUCAGAUAAGUCUAUUGGACAAUUACUUUAUACUGAUCAGAACAUAUCCUUGAUAAAUGAGACUAUAACUAAG